UAUAUAUAUAUAUAUAUAUUCCAAACAUCACUUCCCUAAAGACAAAAUGAAUCUGGGAAAAGCACAAACUAACAAAUAGAACAAAGAAUAUAUGAAGGGACUUGUUCCGGCAGCGCAAUACCUGCCCCCUUGGCGUUUGAUAGCAAUGCAAGAACUCUUUAAGAUUUGGGAUCAAGUAUAGAACUUAGAUGAUCGUCGACUUUUCAGUUCUUUUUAUCUGAUCCUUUAAGGUUAAGGUUGAACCAUCUUUUCUUUGAUGACUUGUCUUUGGAGUCUGAGCUUCCAUCUUCCCCUGGACUAUCGGUUUUAUAAUCUUCGCCAGGGACUUUACUGCUACUUCCAUUACUGAAAUGCCCGCUUCCACUGCCGCUUAGAUUAGCAAUUGACCUUGAAACUGUGAAUGAAGAGUGUAUACUGUCUCUUUGUUUCAGCAUCUCAUCGACAGACAGCUUCUCUUGGCUGUAUCUGUUGGUUACUUCCUGGAAGUGUGCCAAUGCCUUUCUAUAUUCGAUUUCAAACUGCCGAAGCUCAUUUCUCUUCCUCAAAAUCUGAGCCUCGAUUUCCUUGAGCUUAACAGUAGUAUCCUCAUAUGACUUGGCACAAAGAGCCUCAAUAAUAUAAGUAGCUGGCUUAAAGAAAUUAUCUCCAUAAACAGCGAAUAUGUGAGUGCCAGCUUUUAGUUCUGAGACCUCACAAGGUUGAAGGCCAUCCAGUUUCUUAAAGAAAGCAGCUUCAGGGUCCUUAGCCAUUGCUAACGCAUUUACAGUUGAAUCCAUUCUGUACACCUGAAAAUGCAGGAAAUACAUUCCUGCUGACGUUACUUUACCUGUUUUUUCACUAUCUUCCUGCAAAGCCAGGCCAUAACCUCCAUUUGCAUCUUGUUCAAAAUACAGUAGCUUAAACUUGCUUUGAGCUGCUGAAGUAACUCUAACUACAAGCCCUGCCUCCGCUUGUUCAUUGCUAAUCGUUACACCGAAAAAAUGGGCACUUUGCUUUUCAACCUUUCCACUAAGAGACGUCCCGAUUGGAAGAGGGCGGAUUGUGACAGUUCCAUUCAAAGCUUCUUCAAGAACAUUAGCAGACACAGUCGUUUUGAUGGGAACACCCAACUUGCUGAACAAUGCUGCAAACAUUGUGUUGACAGUUCCAAGAUUAGACAAAUCAAUUUCCAUA
rnacentral:misc_RNA from 1 species